AGUUGCUCAGACUGCAGCCUGUUCUAAUCGGCCCCGUGGAUGGAGCCUGCAGACCCAGAAAUGGCCUCCAGCCAUGGGGCUCCCAAGCAGCCUGGAGGACCACCACCAUCCUCCGACCACCCCAAUCUCCUACAAAGAGAACAGAGGGCAAAGGAGGGGUGAGGCUCGCAGGGGAGGUUGGCCCCAGACCACUAAAUACACACCACCUGAAGAUACAGCAAAACCCAGAAGUGGUGACCACAGCAACAUGAGUACACACACUGCAGACCGUCAGCAGCAGGAGGGCCAUGUGAUUGCAGAGGGCAGCCUGACAAGCCCAUGUGAUUCCCUCCACAUUAAGUGGAAAACACUGUCUCCACUGAGAAAGAGGCCUGGAGGGAAUUGAGAAGCAGAAAAUAAUCUCAGGCAGAUCCAGCCGCCCUGACACUUGCAGUGCAGCUGGCAGGUGCCGGAGCUUCAGACACGUGGCCCACAGGUGCAACAAACCCACCUUGCUUGGGCUCUGCAACCAUAGAGUCCCGCCCCGGCCAAUGAAGCCAUCCCUGGGGGUCUCUGAAAAUUCUCCAGGCUAUCUGCAAACUGGUCUCUCAGAAUGUGUGGCCAGCUACACUUUAGAAUACAUGAACACGCAAUUUACUUGGUGAUUCACAUUAUACAUACAUGUAUACACACAGGUAUACAUGGAUAUACAAAUACACAAUAUAUCCAUACAUACAUGUGCAUGCAUAUACACACAUAUGCAUAUAUAUACAUACGCAUACACACAUACACAUACAAUGUGUAUAUCCAUGCAUAGCUACCCUUCCCAGUCACCUUGGGUGACACAUUUUGCUGGGGAUCUUUGUGGGAGAAGGAGGGGCAUUUUCUGCUGCUCAAAUAGCUUUUGGAACCAAAACAUUUGCAAACCACUUGUUUAGGGGGCCAGACCUGAACUCAAGGUGCAAGACCUGAACUCAGAGGUUCGCACAACAGGUGACCAACCAAAGUUUGCGGUCCUAAUUAUUUCUACUCUCUUUUCCCUUUCCCUAGAGGCCCUAGGACAGUUUCCUCUGCACCUAUGGUCCUCUAGGCCCUGCUGAGUAGGGCACUACUAGAGAGAAAAGCACCUGGCUCCUGGCCUCAAAAAUUCCCAAUGGUGAAUGAGCAGUGUGGCACUUUGUAAAGCUUUAUGGAAUUAGGAUAAAUGCUUCUGGCUAUUGGAAAACCUUAUUUCACAUGUGCACACAUGUGUGCGUGUGCAUGUGUGAGUGUGUGUGUGUGUAUGUGUGUGUGUGAUCUGUGUGGGCUUGUGCCAUGCUGCCAUAAAACACAAAUUUAUCUUCAUAAUAGGGUCAAUUACAUUCUCCCAUUUCCCCACAAGUGAGGCAACAAAAACAAAUUUUGAGCUUCUACCUGCAGGAGAAUGCCAGGAUCUCUGUGUUGAAAAAGGGAGCCUUGGUUUACCCUCCCCCUGCCUUGCACAGACAUAUGUUGCACAGACGAACACCUGGAAGGUGCUUCUCAAUUCUUUGAGGUUGCUGCCUCUCACAUGCAGCUGUCAAAUCACACCCCAUCAACAUGACACAGCAAAUAACACUACGACACGCAACCAGCAACUUUUGAAAGUAUACUCUCCCCACACCCAGCCCCGUCUGCCUUCUCCAGCGUGGGUUGCUGUCUUCAAACUAACCAUCCUGAAACUGCUUAAAAGAGCCUGACAGGUAAUUUAUUCUGUGGCAGAGGAUAGCAAUUUCAUUGUCCAGAGGCAAGAGAUCCAACUAUAUCAGAAAAUCCGUACUCUCAAGGAACACAGGUUUAAUAUGAUAACGAUUCUAAGGGUGUGUGUUCAUAAUUCUUCCUGUUCUUUCCUCCCCUUCCCUAAAGCUGCUAGUGAAUGCUUUUGCAGUUUUUUUUAAGGGCCCUCCAAAGAACUGACAUAAAAUAAAUCAAAUAUUUUACCACGAAAGGUGAUUAUCAAACACUUAUUUGUGAAAAGAGUCAACCAGAAGGGGUCAAGGCCUAGCUGCUGUUAUGGGAUUUUUGCCCACAAGUAAAAUGUUUUU